GUGUGGAUGUUGGAUUAUAAAUAGGAUUGGGCAUCAAGGACUGCUUCAAGCUUGGAAUCGUUUCUAAAAUUAUGAUUCCAGUGGAAUAGUUUUUUUAUUGUAAUCGUUCGGAAAAAAUGGUGUUCCAAAUUUAACAUGCGAAAGUUUGGGUUUCCGUAGCGGCCAGGGGCUUGUUGUGUUGCCGCCGUGGAGUAUAGUAAGAGGUGCUCU